CUCCACUCGCUCUCUCGCGCUCUGGUUCCUCCGAGUUGUUUAUUCCAUUUUCCUCUUCCUGAGACGGCCGUCGCCGCUGCGCGUGCGCGCUGAGACGCGAGGGCUUAUGGGUAGCGGGAGCGCUAGGGGAAGCCUGGCCGGCGUCGGGCCCCCGGGGGCAUCCGCGAGCUAUCGGCGGUUGGACCGGCGGCUCUCGGUGGGGUUCCGGACGCGGAUCUGGCGCCGAAUUCUCACGAGACCUGAUACCUUCCUUAUUUGUAUAUUCUCUUACUUAAAAAGCCAGAUGUCUUUUUUUUUUUUUUCAUUGAAAAGAGAAAAUUGACAAGGUAAACGGUCGUUUGGAGGGGCCACCUGGGGACGCGGCCCGAGCCCUGGCUCUACCUGAAGAAUAUCUUCUAUUUGCCACACUUCCUCUCCCCGUUUCCUUUCUUCGCCCCUCUCCUCUUUCCCCUUCCCCUCGAAGGUAAUGAGAACUACUGGACCGAUUACGCUAACCUCUUGGCCCUUUGUCAAAAAAUGGAGCCAAAAAGGUUGAUUUAGACAGACCCCCUGCUCAGUGCAGCACCUGUUAUUCUCUGUAUUUAUAUUACCAAGGGCCUUCGGUAAAUUAUGAAAAAUAGGAUGCCACCUGGGACAACACUGCUUAGACAGCACUGGAAGACCUUUAUAAAUAUACUAGGUUGCUUUUCUCCAAUCAGCCUAGCCUUGAUUUGAAAUUCAUUUUUAUUUUUUUUGAGACGGUGAAAUUCAUUUUUAAAAGAUAGUUUUAACCUCAGCGAUCUCUGAUGUUUGCGCUAAUACCCUUUUAAAGGCUUUCAGAAAUUUUAAAGAAUUGCUAUGAAAGGAAAAGUAACAUUCUAGUUUUUCUCUGUAAAAGAGGUUCACAAACGGCAGAUCGCUGUUAUGAAAAGGAGGGGUGGAAGUAUUUAAGGAAUUGUGGCAAACAAAGUCACAGAAGAAUGGAUAUAAGCAAAAGUAGCACACUGAAAAAAAUGGGGAAAAGUGGAGUCUAGAUCACAAACUGGUAAGCUUGGUGAUGUUCUCUAGCCAAAUUCGAAGGUAAUAACAUUGUAUUAUGGCUUUCUGUUUAAAAGCAGUUUCGCUUAUUUGAUUAUUCAACAAAUCUUUAUUAACACGCAUUACGUGUACCAGAAACUGUGGUACACUUAACUGUGGAGCUGGGGAAGCAAAAGUGAACAUGCCGCCUUAAGUGAGUUCAGAUGGCUUAUCUUCCGGUUGGGGAGGCAUCAAGUACACAGGUCCGUUGUAAACCAGUGUCUUAAGUGCUAACCUUAUCACAUUUGCUAUUAGAGGAUAUUAAACAUGUCAGACUUCUUGGAGAAAGUUGAUAUUUUCAUGUUCCAAGUUUGGGAACAUCAUUGAAUUCAGACAGAUCUGGAUUGAAACAGAUUAAAGUGCCUACACUUUAAUAGCUGUGUUCCUCUCAGUUAAUUGCUUCAUUUCUCUGUGCCUUGUCUGUACACCUGGAUUAAGAAUAGUACCUACUUCAUAAAGUAUAACUAAUAAUGUAUAUAAACUGUCCCAUGCCUAAUAAGAAUUCGGUAGGUUGUAACUAUUAUUAAUAGUAUUGGC
rnacentral:lncRNA from 10 species